rnacentral:rRNA from 1 species
UACGUAGGGUGCGAGCGUUAAUCGGAAUUACUGGGCGUAAAGCGUGCGCAGGCGGUGGCUCAAGCCAGGCGUGAAAUCCCCGGGCUUAACCUGGGAACUGCAUUGGUGACUGGCAGGCUUUGAGUGUGGCAGAGGGAGGUAGAAUUCCACGUGUAGCGGUGAAAUGCGCAGAUAUCAGGAGGAACACCGGUGGCGAAGGCGGCAUCCUGGACCGAGAUUGACACUGAUGAGCGAAAGCUAGGGGAGCAAACGGG